GAUGAAGAACGCAGCGAAAUGCGAUAAGUAAUGUGAAUUGCAGAAUUCAGUGAAUCAUCGAAUCUUUGAACGCACAUUGCGCCCGCCAGUAUUCUAGCGGGCAUGCCUGUUCGAGCGUCAUUUCAACCAUCAAGCCCCAGGCUUGUGUUGGGGACCUGCGGCUGCCGCAGGCCCUGAAAACCAGUGGCGGGCUCGCUGUCACACCGGGCGUAGUAGAUUUUAUCUCGCUCAGGGCGUGCUGCGGGUUCCGGCCGUUAAAAAGCCUUUUUUACCCAAGGUUGACCUCGGAUCAGGUAGGAAGACCCGCUGAACUUAAGCAUAUCAAUAAGCGGAGGA
rnacentral:misc_RNA from 1 species